CCUACGGGCGGCUGAAGUGGGGAAUAUUGCACAAUGGGGGAAACCCUGAUGCAGCGACGCCGCGUGAGUGAAGAAGUAAUUCGUUAUGUAAAGCUCUAUCAGCAGGGAAGAAAAUGACGGUACCUGAGUAAGAAGCCCCGGCUAACUACGUGCCAGCGGCCGCGGUAAUACGUAGGGGGCAAGCGUUAUCCGGAUUUACUGGGUGUAAAGGGAGCGUAGACGGGAGGGCAAGUCUGGAGUGAAAGGGGGGGGCUGAACGCCCGGACUGCUAUGGAAACUGUACGGCUGGAGUGCAGGAGAGGUAAGUGGAAUGCGUGGUGUAGCGGUGAAAUGCGUAGAUAUUAGGAGGAACACCAGUGGCGAAGGCGGCUUACUGGACUGUAACUGACGUUGAGGCUCGAAAGCGUGGGGAGCAAACAGGAUUAGAUACCCCAGUAGUC
rnacentral:rRNA from 1 species